GGAGCCAGGGCUUUGAUGGAUAAAGUACCUGUUUUGUAAGCAGGAGAUCACGAGUUCGAAUCUCGUCGGUGCCU